UUCAGAGGUCCCGAGCGUUGUUCGGAUUUACUGGGCGUAAAGGGAGCGUAGGCAGUUCGGUAUGUCGAAUGUGAAAGCCCACAACUCAACUGUGGAAAUGCAUUCGAAACUGCCGGGCUAGAGUACUGGAGAGGAGAGCGGAAUUCUUGGUGUAGCGGUGAAAUGCGUAGAUAUCAAGAGGAACACCGGUGGCGAAGGCGGCUCUCUGGACAGAUACUGUCGCUGAGGCUCUAAAGUUAGGGGAGCAAACAGGAUUAGAUA
rnacentral:rRNA from 1 species